rnacentral:rRNA from 1 species
AUACGUAGGUGGCGAGCGUUGUCCGGAAUUACUGGGCGUAAAGGGUGCGUAGGCGGUUAUUUAAGUCUCGUGUGAAAGGCGCCGGCUUAACCGGCGAGAGCCACGGGAAACUGGGUAGCUAGAGUGCCGGAGAGGGUCGCGGAAUUCCCGGUGUAGCGGUGAUAUGCGUAGAUAUCGGGAGGAACACCAGUGGCGAAGGCGGCGGCCUAGACGGUAACUGACGCUGAGGCACGAAAGCUGGGGGAGCAAACAGGAUUAGAUACCCUGGUAGUCCCAGCCGUAAACGAUGAGCGCUAGGUGUUGCGGGUAUCGACCCCUGCAGUGCCGCAGUCAACGCAAUAAGCGCUCCGCCUGGGGAGUACGGCCGCAAGGCUGAA